AUACUUACCUGGCAGGGGAGAUACCAUGAUCACAAAGGUGGCUUUCUCAGGGUGAGGCUUAUCCAUUGCACUCCGUAUAUGCUGACCCAUGUGAUUUCCCAAAACGUGGGAAACUUGACUGCAUAAUUUGUGGUAGUGGGGGACUGCAUUCGUGCUUUCCCCUG